AGCAUGCACACUUAGAAACAUCUGAAGUACGUGGAGUUAAAAUAGUGUUGUAACUCAUGGAUUAUACGGUGAUCAUCUUUCUGCUGAUAGGAGCGCUGGUUAAUGGUACAUUUAGUCAAACUCAUCAGUACUACUAUGUGAGCACCUCACUGAACUGGACGGAGGCACAGAGCCACUGCAGAGAUGCCUACACUGACCUGGCCACCA